AUUGAACGCUAGCGGGAUGCUUUACACAUGCAAGUCGAGCGAGCGGCGGACGGGUGAGUAAUGUAUGGGGACUGCCCGAUAGAGGGGGAUAACUACUGGAAACGGUAGCUAAUACCGCAUACUAUCGGAUAACCCAUAUGGGAUUAGCUAGUAGGGGAGGUAAUUGCUCACCUAGGCGACGAGCCCUAGCUGGUCUGAGAGGCUGAUCAGCCACACUGGGACUGAGACACGGCCCAGACUCCGACGGAGGCAGCAGUGGGGAAUAUUGCACAAUGGGCGCAAGCCUGAUGCAGCCAUGCCGCGUGUAUGAAGAAGGCCCUAGGGUUGUAAAGUUCUUUUUGCAGAGAAGCGGUAUCUGCAGAAUAAGCACCGGCUAACUACGUGCCAGCAGCCGCGGUAAUAC
rnacentral:rRNA from 1 species